rnacentral:rRNA from 1 species
ACGGAGGGAGCUAGCGUUAUUCGGAAUUACUGGGCGUAAAGCGCACGUAGGCGGCUUUGUAAGUAAGAGGUGAAAGCCUGGAGCUCAACUCCAGAACUGCCUUCGAUACUGGGAGACUUGAGUUCGGGAGAGGUGAGUGGAACUGCGAGUGUAGAGGUGAAAUUCGUAGAUAUUCGCAAGAACACCAGUGGCGAAGGCGGCUCACUGGCCCGAUACUGACGCUGAGGUGCGAAAGCGUGGGGAGCAAACAGGA